UACGGAGGGGACUAGCGUUGUUCGGAAUUACUGGGCGUAAAGCGCACGUAGGCGGAUUUGUAAGUCAGGGGUGAAAUCCCGGGGCUCAACCUCGGAACUGCCUUUGAUACUGCAAAUCUCGAGUCCGGAAGAGGUGAGUGGAAUUCCUAGUGGUAGAGGUGAAAAUUCGUAGAUAUUAGGAAGAACACCAGUGGCGAAGGCGGC
rnacentral:rRNA from 1 species